CCCUUAGAUGUUCUGGGCCGCACGCGCGCUACACUGAUGGGUUCAUCGAGCUUACAACCUUGACUGACAGGUCUGGGUAAUCUUUUUAAAGCCCAUCGUGCUGGGGAUAGAUUAUUGCAAUUCUUAAUCUUCAACGAGGAAUUCCUAGUAAACGCAAGUCAUCAACUUGCAUUGAUUACGUCCCUGCCCUUUGUACACACCGCCCGUCGCUACUACCGAUUGAAUGGUUUAGUGAGCUCUACGGACUGUCGCCUGCCUUUGGGUUUCCUUCGGUAGGCAGCGGGAAGUAGAUCAAACUUGAUCAUUUAGAGGAAGUAAAAGUCGUAACA
rnacentral:rRNA from 1 species